GAGUUUGAUCAUGGCUCAGAUUGAACGCUGGCGGCAGGCCUAACACAUGCAAGUCGAGCGGAUGACGGGAGCUUGCUCCUUGAUUCAGCGGCGGACGGGUGAGUAAUGCCUAGGAAUCUGCCUGGUAGUGGGGGACAACGUUUCGAAAGGAACGCUAAUACCGCAUACGUCCUACGGGAGAAAGCAGGGGACCUUCAGGCCUUGCGCUAUCAGAUGAGCCUAGGUCGGAUUAGCUAGUUGGUGGGGUAAUGGCUCACCAAGGCGACGAUCCGUAACUGGUCUGAGAGGAUGAUCAGUCACACUGGAACUGAGACACGGUCCAGACUCCUACGGGAGGCAGCAGUGGGGAAUAUUGGACAAUGGGCGAAAGCCUGAUCCAGCCAUGCCGCGUGUGUGAAGAAGGUCUUCGGAUUGUAAAGCACUUUAAGUUGGGAGGAAGGGCAGUAAGUUAAUACCUUGCUGUUUGACGUUACCGACAGAAUAAGCACCGGCUAACUCUGUGCCAG
rnacentral:rRNA from 1 species